UCCUCCUACAGGUUUAAUAGGGGAGCACAAAGGGUAACUGGUGGUGACUAAAGACAGACUUCAGUGCUCUUGGUUUUAAUGCGUUCAAAUGCACCUCCCAACAAGGCAAGUGACUGUUCAAAUAUGUUUUGCUGUUUCACUAAUUGUUUUGUGAGCUGCAUGUUCAACUGGCCUGUGGUUUGAUAAAUCACUCCACUCGGCCUAACUAAUCGUGACACAUUGUGCCGGAAGGAACUGCAGAUGCUGGUUUACACCGGAGAUAGACACAAAAUGCUGGAGUAACUCAGCGGGACAGGCAGCAUCUCUGGGGAGAAGGAAUGGGUGAC